UACGUAGGGACCAAGCGUUGUCCGGAAUCAUUGGGCGUAAAGAGCGUGUAGGCGGCCUGUUAAGUCUUGCGUGAAAUCUCGGGGCUCAACCCCGAGCGGUCGUGAGAAACUGGCAGGCUAGAGUGCGGGAGAGGAGAGUGGAAUUCCUGGUGUAGCGGUGAAAUGCGCAGAUAUCAGGAAGAACACCCGUGGCGAAGGCGGCUCUCUGGGCCGAUAUUGACGCUGAGGAGCGAAAGCGUGGGGAGCGAACAGG
rnacentral:rRNA from 1 species